AGAAGACACAGCUAAAGAGUCCUCUCUGGGCCCAUGCGAGGCCGCCAUCUUGUCUGAAACCUAAAGCCCCUCCAUGUUCUUAAUCUGCUCCUCCUCAUCUCUUUAACAAUUUCUUGCCUAGAACAGUGCCUGGCACAUAACAGGUACAUAAUGCGUAUUUGUUGACUGAAAGGAGUCUUAAAGCCAUCAGACUGGAUGAGAGAGAGAAGGUGCAAAGAGAAGAGAUGGUCAAGGCCCAUGUCCUGAGGAACUGCAGAGGAGGAGGGAAACUCACUCUAGAGAAGCUGAAUUAUGUGGAGAGAUCUAAUAAGAUGAGAACCUAAAGAUAUCUUGAAGUUGCCAAUAUGGAGUUCACUGGUGAUCUGAUGGGCACAGUUUCCAUGGAGAGGUGGGAAGAGAAGGCGGAGUUGGGGUUUAGAGCAAAUGAGAGGUGAGGACACGACAAGAAGAUGGCUGUCUGCAAACCAGGAAGAGAGCCCUCACCAGACGUCAGAUCUGCCGCCACCUGGAGCUUGGACUUCCCAGCCUGAAGAACUGUGAGAAAUAAAAGUCUGUUGUUUAAG